rnacentral:misc_RNA from 1 species
GAUGAAGAACGCAGCGAAAUGCGAUACUUGGUGUGAAUUGCAGAAUCCCGUGAACCAUCGAGUCUUUGAACGCAAGUUGCGGCCGAAGCCAUCAGGUUGAGGGCACGUCUGCCUGGGCGUCACAUAUCGUUGCCCAAUGCCUAUUGCAGUGCAAUAGGAAUUUCUAGGGCGAAUGAUGGCUUCCCGUGAGCGUUGUUGCCUCGCGGUUGGUUGAAAAUCGAGUCCUUGGUAGGGUGUGCCAUGGUAGAUGGUGGUCGAGUUAGAACGAUACCGAUCAUGUGCAUGCUCCCCAAAAUAUGGCCUCUAUGACCCACACGCGUCUUUUGACGCUCAUGACGAGACCUCAGGUCAGGCGGGGCUACCCGCUGAAUUUAAGCAUAUCAAUAAGCGGAGGA